AAAACGGCCUGAAAUAACACCUCGCCACGAAAUACAAGAAGAAGAGUUGAUAUGAUUUUUUGCGCCUUCAUAAAUAUAUUGACAUUGAGGUUUUUUUUUUUUUUUUUUUUUUUUUUGUGUUUUUUUUUUUUUUUUU
rnacentral:ribozyme from 1 species